GAUGAACGCUGGCGGCGUGCCUAAUACAUGCAAGUAGAACGCUGAAGCUUGGUGCUUGCACCGAGCGGAUGAGUUGCGAACGGGUGAGUAACGCGUAGGUAACCUGCCUGGUAGCGGGGGAUAACUAUUGGAAACGAUAGCUAAUACCGCAUAACAGUAGAUAUUGCAUGAUAUCUGCUUGAAAGGUGCAAAUGCAUCACUACCAGAUGGACCUGCGUUGUAUUAGCUAGUUGGUGAGGUAACGGCUCACCAAGGCGACGAUACAUAGCCGACCUGAGAGGGUGAUCGGCCACACUGGGACUGAGACACGGCCCAGACUCCUACGGGAGGCAGCAGUAGGGAAUCUUCGGCAAUGGGGGGAACCCUGACCGAGCAACGCCGCGUGAGUGAAGAAGGUUUUCGGAUCGUAAAGCUCUGUUGUAAGAGAAGAACGAGUGUGAGAGUGGAAAGUUCACACUGUGACGGUAUCUUACCAGAAAGGGACGGCGAACUACGU
rnacentral:rRNA from 1 species